rnacentral:rRNA from 1 species
GCUAAACGCGAAGAACCUUACCUGGACUUGACAUACCCUGAAUAGUGCAGAGAUGCAUGAAGCCCUUCGGGGCAGGGAUACAGGUGGUGCAUGGUUGUCGUCAGCUCGUGUCGUGAGAUGUUAGGUUAAGUCCUGCAACGAGCGCAACCCCUGUUGUUAGUUGCUAACAUUAAGUUGAGCACUCUAGCGAGACUGCCGCGGUUAACGCGGAGGAAGGUGGGGAUGACGUCAAAUCAUCAUGCCCCUUAUGUUCAGGGCAACACACGUGCUACAAUGGGCAGUACAGAGAGAUGCAAGACCGCGAGGUGGAGCAAACCUCAAAAACUGCCCCAGUUCGGAUUGUAGGCUGAAACUCGCCUACAUGAAGUUGGAGUUGCUAGUAAUCGCGAAUCAGAAUGUCGCGGUGAAUACGUUCCCGGGUCUUGUACACACCG